rnacentral:misc_RNA from 1 species
CUACCUUAGCCUUGAUCCUCCCAUCCUUCAUUCCCCCAACAUCUCCCAAGGUACUCAUCACCGACAGUGACAGAUGGCCAUUAGGGGAGAGACUUUUUAAAUCAGCAACAUCCAUAUCCUUCUGUCAACGAUUCAUAACGAUCUGUGGUUCGACUCAAACAGGCCUGAGCCAACUCUAUCUUCUCUGACUCACGAUUUCCGCGACUGACUCCGUACUUCCUUCUACCUUCCGCGGCAUUAAUAAGUAUUAACAUAUCUACUGCCUUGUACAGUAAUAGUACAAUGUCUGCUUGUCACUAGAUGAUACAGACUUCAGACCUCGUCAAAAUUCUCUCACAGACACGGUUCUCUCAAUGUGAUACCUGUGUACAAGUUUCAUCAUUUAUAAUAAUUUACUUCUGUCCUCUUGAGUUCUGACCUUUUUUCAUCUUCAAUGGAGCAUCGAUGCAAGAGGAGACUACAAUCAAAUUAACAAUCAGCCAACAAAUAAUUUAGCUUUAAUAGUUCUCGAUCUUUAAGGAUCUUCUUACAGCUAUGAUCGACUUAAGGUUUAAAGAAAUAUUCUAAUUUAUUUAUCAAAAUAGUACAGGCACAGUAAUUAAAAUAGUGCCUAAGAUGAGGAUAAAAGUUUCACGGAAAACGAAAACCACUUUAAAGAGCUUCAUGGAAAGCUUGAAGUUGCUGAUGUUAAGUCCCUUACAACAAGGGAAAGCUCAGUCGCAGUGAAGAUGACGAUGCUAACAGAACACAGUAUCUCAGUUAUGAGAGAGUUGAACAAAAUUUUCUGUUUGUUGUUACUUUUCCUUUUGCUACAGAAAACAGUGCUCGCCACUAACUGUGUGAAUGAGACUUUCACUGAAGUAAGAACAGAAUGGGAAUACAGCUUUGCAAAUAUCAGUUACCGUUAUAAUAUAACGGAGGGAUCAGUCUAUUCCGACAAAUUUGACCUGCUGUUCGAGGUGUGCGAAGGUCAGGAAACUACACUCCACUGCACGUUUUUCUGGAGAAAACAGUCGAAAAAUCCAAUCGUUUUUAGGACAUUGAUCUCGGGGAAUGAAACAAUUUGUUUUGCGAGGCAGAUUGACGAUAUCAGCACCUCUGUCACAACAUAUGAAAUCCAGAUCUCACAGCUCGUGCGGCGACCUCUGACCUUCUUUAAGCUGUCCAUAACUGACGAGAAUAACAAAGCCGAUGUAUUACGUCUCAUAUGUGUUGAAGUACUAUACCCCCCGAGGAUCACAAGUCUUACUGUGGACGACCAUGAAGUUAACGGUGAUUAUCUGAUACAAAAAGAUCAGGAGGUCAUCGUUACCUGCCUUUUUGACAAAGGAAACCCUCCAGUGCCUGUACGUCUGCUAAACAAACACGAGAAGCAUUUGAGCAGUUCUAAAGAUAGUGGACAAGUCAGCAUUUCUGUUGUUGUCAGGUGUGAAGAUGAAUGGCCAAUGGUCCUGUGCAAAAGCGACGACUCGGAAUACAAAAGAUUUGUGUCCUUUCUUGUCAGAUGUCCUCCUCAGUUUCUCGAGAAGUCUACAAAAAUCAUCCGUCCCUCUUCUCUUGAGAACAUAACCUUCCUCGUCAAGACUCACACUGCCAUCGUUGACGAAUGUCUUUUGACAUCUCAGUUUCUGAAAGAGGACGAAACAAGGAAAGUGAACUGCACCUUAAGUGGAAACACUCCUAAUUUACACUUGCACCUGCACCUGACCAACAUAACCCAGGGUAGCUGGAUCCUAACUCUUCGCAAUGAAGUAGGCUCUGCUAACACAAGUCUAUUCAUCGCUGAUGUUUCAAGUAAGUAGCUUAAAGAAAUAUAAAAAUAAAAUGGUAAAUGUCUUACAAAAAGAUAUAUUUUAAAAUAUAUUCCCAUUUUCUUACCUAUGAUACUGACAGAAGAAAAAAGACCAAUUUCUUUGGUUGUAAGACAUUAUAUAGAAAAUCCUGAAAAUACUUUAAAAUUAAUGAUGCAGACUCAUUCAGGAAUAAAUCUGAUGCAUACAGCAUUCACCACUCAGUUAUCCUGCGUUAAUUUUAAAAAUGUCUGUAACAUGAUUUAAAUAAAAUAAAUGUGAAAUGACAAAGCUGUGUGGUUGUUUUGACUGAGUAUUCAAUAGAGAAUUUAGUCCCAUCUGGCUGCCUCUGUAACUUGACCGAAUCGUGUGUUCCGGAAUUUCUUAUUUUCUUCGGCCAAUAAAAAGUUCUAACGGAAGUGAGUGUUACAAAGUAAGCGAUGGACUGAGAGGCUACGGAGAUAUUACUAUGUGAUGAUCCGCCAGCGACAAUAAUUUAAUCAAAAACAAGACGAAAAUGAAUCAAAGACUCAGAAGGACUUCUGUGUGUUACCAACAUCCGAUGUGAAGGUAACAAUUAGUAUUCAUGAUCAUUGAAGGAGGAAAGUAAAAGAGAAUGAUAACAUGAAGGCAUGAUAUGUAUGUGCUUAUUCAAACUUAUUAUCUCUCUUUGUCUUUAUUAACUUUUGUUCUCUGUCCCAAUCUGCCUCACUAGACUUCUCUUUCUCUCAUUCCUUCACCUAUACAAAGGAAAGGGGGAAUGAGAUUUGUCGAUAACAUCCGAUAUUAAUUGACAGCACAAAUAAUAGGUUUGUCCCAGCUGGAUCAUGAAGUGUGCGGUGACCAAUCAAAUCUCAACAACAGCAGAGUAUCAAAUUCAAGAACCUUACUUGUUCCGUUUAUUGUGUUCAUAAAUAGUUUAUCUAUUUAAAUUAUCUAUUACCACAUUUAUGAUAUAAUUUGUUUCAUCAGAUUGAUGACUUUAUAACGCUUUUACGAAUAAGGUUAUGCUAUCUUGUCGACAGGGUGGUCAGAUGUUCAGACACCCAUUACAAAGUCUCAUCAGUCGUCAUCAGCAAAAGUGAUUCUUCAAUGAAUGUGACAAAACGUACAAUCCGAGACCUUUUAUUAAAGAUGAGACUUCAUCCAUGUGUACCGCAAGCAAGGGGAAGGAACUGGAUCUCAGAAAAGAUUUGACGCCUGCCAAGAAUGUUGACAUUUUUAAAUAAUAUUAUGCAAAAUGAUUCACAAUGACAAAGAUGGAUAUUUUUCAUAUAUGUUAG